AUCUUCUCUCUGAAAUUAUCUCAAAUUCAUUGAGUCCAUAUCUUUGUUUAUACAUAAUUGUAUGAUAUGGUUCCCAUUGGAUUUCAAUCUCUUUGAAGGCAGGGACUAUUUCUGCCUUUCUUUGUAUCUCAUGAGUUUAACACAGGCCUUGGAACAUAAUAAGUAUUGAAUAAAUGCUUUUUAGAUUUUUUUAUUGAAUGAGCUACCUAUUCUCUCUGAACCUCUGUUUAUUCAUCUGUAAAAUGAGAGAUUUGGUCAAGAUAGCCCCUAAUGUUCACUUGAGCUCUAAAUUUCCCCAAAAUAAGGGAAAUUAAAAUUUGAUAUGAAUCACAAAACAAAGAUGUUUGCUUUUAUUCAAGAAUUUUCUGUAGAGUUUUCAUGUUCUAGAUAAGACCAUAUGAAUAAGAAGAGCCCCAUUGAAUCUUACCAAUAGAGCAUCCUUUAUAUUUCUUCUAACAUUUUCUUUGAAUAUGAAUGCAAUGUAAAGGGCAGUCAAGACACAGAUUAUGCUUCAAGUGAGGACAUUAUGAAAGCCUAAACUACAUAGAAAGUAUAUCUUACUCCUAAUAAUUAGUACUGAAUGAACAGCUAGAAAAAAAUAUGGUCUUGGCAAAAUCCAAUUGGUGCAGCUCUAACUGAUCGAAUGUAGUUUUCCAAGUAAUAAUUGAUAUUAUAUAAUCAUAACUGCCAGUUUAUGUCAGAAAAGUGACACUUGACACUUUCUGGCUAACCAGCUUAAUAUCAUCAAUUAAAACAUCACUGCCAUAAUGACAUUUUAGUAACAAGUUUAACAUCAUCAAUUAUGACAUCACCUCCUUUAUGGCACCAGAGGGUUGAAGGAGGGGUGGGGAAGAUGGAUCAAAGGGCAAGUUCCCUGGAAGCCAACAUUUUCUACAGAUUUGUGAUUUCAGGAUCUCUUAGGCCCUAGCCUCCUCCUUGGUAUAAUUAUUUCUAAGCAACAAGACCACAAAGCCACGAAGACCAUUCUUGGUGAAAGCUAGAGGAGGAAACUGAAACCCAGGGAAACUGUCACCUCUUUGAGGACACACAGAUACUUCAGUGGCAGAACUGAAAGGGGUACAGAGAGAUAUUGAUCCCUAGGCAUGGGCACAUUCUACUACACCAGCUUCUUUGCUCCAGUAUAAAGAGUCAAUAUAAGUAGAUUUCUAUUAAUUGAGGAUCUAAGAGAGAUAAUCUGAGAAUUAUUGGACUACUCAAAAGCAAUGAUCAAGAAAAAAAGCCUUGGCUAUCAUACUAUAAGAAAUUAUCAAAGAUAACUGUGCAGAGAAACUCAAAUAAGAAAAUGAAAUUGAAAUUGAAAGAAUUCACAGAUCACCUCCAGGAAGAAAUCCUCAAAUGACAACUUCCAGGAAUAUAAUAGUUAAAUUCAAGUGCCACCAAGCCAAGGGAAAAAAUAUAUCAAGCAAUCAGAAAGAAACCAUUCAAAUACCAGGGACCUAUAAUAAGGAUCACACAGGACCUAGAAGCUUCUACAUUAAAGGGUGGAAAGGCAUGAAAUAUGAUAUUCAGGAAGGCAAAAGAUUUGGGUUUAUUAACCAGUCACAUAUCCAGCAAAACUAAAUAUAUUCUUUCAGGGGGAAAAGUGGAUAUUCAAUAAGAUAGAAGAUUUCCAAGCAUUCCUAAGGAAUAAGCCAGACCUAAACAAAAAAAAAAAUGAAGGUCAAAUAGGAGACACAAGAAAAGCCCAGAAUGGUAAAAAAGAAAAAUUUAAGAGAUUCA